UCCCUGGUGGUCUAGUGGUUAGAAAUCAGCACUUUCACUGCUGCAGCCUGGGUUCAAUCCCUGGUCUGGGAA
rnacentral:tRNA from 1 species